UGCAAGCUAUAGCUAUCUAGGUUAUUCUGUUUCGUGAUGAUCCUUACAGAAAAUAAUAUAAAUGAGAUGGAAAAGGGAGCGGCAAAGGAAUGGGGCUUAAACGCAACGUUUAAAGGGGGACAGAACACUGCAGCAUGGCAAUUUGAGUGUUGAACAAAGUCAUCUGUCCUGGCUGAAAUGCACAAGAAUACUAGUUCUUUGCCAAAUGUAUCUAGCAGGAAACAAAUGCCAGAUGGAAGUGAUGGCAAACUUAAGACAGCAAGACACCCUCGAUGGGCAAGACAAGAAACUUUUGUUCUCUUACAAGGUAAAAGAGUUGAAGAGAGCCAAAUUCAAGAGGAUCACCUUCGAAUUCAGGCUUUGCACUGGGCCACAAUAAAUCCAAGUGGGAUUCAAUCUCAUCAUACUGUAAACAGCAUGGUGUGAACUGAGCACCAGUACAAUGCCAGAAAAGAUGGAGUAAUCUUCUUGUAGAUUUCAAUAAGAUCAAAAAUGGGAAUCUAAUGCCAGCAGUUCCAUUGGCACUGCUUUCAACCAUUAUAGUUCCAGAAGAUGGUAAGAGUUAUGAGAUCAUGACAAUGGCACAGAAAGAAGAUGGAGAUAACAAGGAAGGAACACUUGUGGAUAGCAGUCAGCAAGUUCUUGCAGAAGGUGGUUUAUCCGAUUCUGAACCACCUGGAUACAAGGAAAUUGACCAGAGCCAAGAAAAAGAAACAUAUGGAAAAGCAAGUCCCAACAAGACAGUUGCUAGCCCUUUGCACAUUUCAGAUCAGUCAUUUUGUAUCAACAUUAUUGAAACUUCAGAUAUCAGUGACUUUGUUACUUUCUAGGAGUUGUUUCUAAUAUCUGAAUCCUAGAUCAUUCAAGGAAAUUAAUAUCUAAAAUUAGUUUUUUGUCUUGCAGGUAUGAGGAAAGAGAAGUUUCGAGAAUCAAGUAAAUGUACAGGAUCUACAUCUCAGGAAAACUGGAAGAGGAGGUUGUCAUUAUGUGUUACUGAGGACAUGAACAUGAGGUAUCGCUUGAUCAAGGUUCUAGAGAGGAACAAUAGCAUGCCAAAUGCCCAACUUGAAGCACAUAACAUCAAUUGCCAACCGGAUAGGGACCAAAGGAAAGAGCAUUUGGAUAGCAUGCCGUGAAUAAGCUCACAGAUGCUUUACUGAGAAUUGCUAAUAAUUUCUAGGAGAAAAUGCAAUAGCAGAGAUCCUAGCAAAACUCCCACCAGUGUAGCUGAACAUAUGGGAAAUGUCUAAUAGACACCACAACAGAUCUCAGGCAUGCUUUUACUUUCUUUCUCAAAUCCGUGAUCAACAAGACGCUCCACUAUCUGCCAAGAUCUCACCCCAAUCUUUUCCUCCCUUCUGGUUUAGCACUGAAAUAAGGUAGGUAAAGUGGCGCAUUGUCAGAUAAGAGAGAUCUUAUGGUUUAGCAAUGUGAUAUUGGAAUUAUCUAGUAUCAUUUGCAAGACUCAUUAUCUUGUUACUUA